rnacentral:rRNA from 1 species
GACGAACGCUGGCGGCGUGCCUAAUACAUGCAAGUCGAACGCAGGGGGGACGGGUGAGUAACACGUGGGUGACCUCCCAUCAGAGGGGAUAACACUUGGAAACAGGUGCUAAACUGAUAUUGGUGGAUGAACCCGCGGGGCAUUAGCUAGUUGGUGGGGUAAAGGCUCACCAAGGCCACGAUGCAUAGCCGGUCUGAGAGGGUGACCGGCCACACUGGGACUGAGACACGGCCCAGACUCCUACGGGAGGCAGCAGUAGGGAAUCUUCGGCAAUGGACGAAAGUCUGACGCAGCAACGCCGCGUGAGUGAAGAAGGUUUUCGGAUCGUAAAGCACUGUUGUUAGAGAAGCGGUACCUACACAGAAAGCAACGGCUAACUACGUGCCAGCAGCCGCGGUAAUAC